rnacentral:lncRNA from 1 species
GUCAAAGUCUCCGUUUACUGGCUGAUUGGGGGGUGGGGAGUUUAUCUCCCUGAAACCCUGGACUCUGGGGCCUCCAUUCUCACCUCAGCUGGGUGCAGCCCGGUCUGGGGCUCCUGGGGCCCCCCACAGAUGGAUUUAAGCUUCAUUCAGACAGAACCUACCACCAAGGGCACAGCGAAGAAAAACACCGUCAUCCAGACUCUGCUCAACAGGCCACCUCCCGCAGGGGUCCUCCCCUGAGGCCCCAGAGGCCUGCACCCCACACGCCCUGUGGAACCUGCCCCAGAGCGGCUCAGGCUGAAGUCCCCUCUUCACCUGCUCCUAGCCCUGGACUCCGGCCCCAGCUGGGAGGGGGUUCGUCUGGUCACUGCUGUACCUAGGAUCUGGC